GAUGAAGAACGUAGCGAAAUGCGAUAAGUAGUGUGAAUUGCAGAAUUCAGUGAAUCAUCGAAUCUUUGAACGCACAUUGCGCCCUUUGGUAUUCCUUAGGGCAUGCCUGUUCGAGCGUCAUUUAAACCUUCAAGCUCAGCUUGGUGUUGGGUGACUGUCCGCUUCACCGCGGACUCGCCUCAAAAUUAUUGGCGGCCGGUACAUGGCUUCGAGCGCAGCAGAAACGCGAACUCGGGCCCGUCGUAUUGGCUCCCAGAAGCUAUCUUCACAAUCUUGACCUCGGAUCAGGUAGGGAUACCCGCUGAACUUAAGCAUAUCAAUAAGCGGAGA
rnacentral:misc_RNA from 1 species